rnacentral:sRNA from 1 species
GCUGGGCGUGGUGGUGCUCACCUGAAAUCCCAGCAGCUUGGGAAGCUGAGGCAGGAGGAUGGCGAGUUCAAAGCCAGCCUCAGCAAAAGCGAGGUGCUAAGCAACUCAGUGAGACCCUGUCUCUA